UCAUUAUCAUUGUAAGGGACUUAGCAACACCUGCUGCCUUUCUUUCACCCUCUCAGGCUGUACUGGGCCACAGCUGAAGCAGGUGGGAAGGAGGCUCUGUCCCCUGGCAGUGCAGGGAUUCCAGGAGUAAUGGUAGAGGAUGAAGGCUUGGUCUGGUGUUUUUGUGCUCUUUGCUUUCUUUUGUUUURCACCUGAAUUUGUGAAGUCUUGCCUGACUAUUUCAAAAUUUUAUCAAGCUAAGGAGUCCCUAUCUGGAGAGGAGGAGUAUGAGUAGGCAGAACCUACAUCAAGUUAGAGAACUGAUUAGUGAUGAGAACUGGUUAGUGAACUUAGUGAUUGCUGUUCAGUGGUGUUUCCUGUGAAAAGCCCAUCAGAGCCUUGCUCUGGAGUCUGCCAGAGCUGCAGUUCACUGGUUCUGCCAAACUCCUGGGGUGAAGUUCGAGCAGCGCUUCACUUUGCAAGGGCCUGUUGGCCCCCAGCCCAUGGGAGCUCAUGAGCAAGGCUACGGGAGAAUAGUGAAGGAUCUCUUCUGCCCCAGAGAGUUCAUAUAUCCUGAACACAGAAUGCUCUUUUCCACCUCAUCUAUUGUCCAUUUAUCAUACAGGAACAAUAAUUCAAGAGAAGCUCAUACCUGGAGCAUUAAACUGCAGUGACAAUUUCAUGUGUCUGUAAAGAACACUUUAAUGCUGAAGUGCAUCACAAGCCAGAGCUGCACAGAUGCUCAUCAGGAAACCAGCACAGCAUUGGGUCAACUCUUCUCUGAUAGAAAAGCCAUCCGAGAUGAAAACUACCUCAGACUCCUUUUAAAUGUGAUUUUAUAUGCACACAUGCAAAUGUUGCUUGUUUGAUUUACACAGGAGGGUUGGCUUAUGUUGUGUAAUUAGAACUAAUCCAGUUAGUUUGUAAGGGCAUAUGCAAUGGGAAUAUGUGACUUGCAAAGAUAAGGCUCCAUGGAAGACUUACAGAAGCCUUCCUUGAUGUUGACCAGAAUGCAUUUAGUUUGCUAAGAACCCACUGCCACAACAAAACAGAAAUUCAGGUGGAACAGGAUAUAAUUACUGCAGGUACUUUAAAACCACCAGAUUGCAUUUCUGAUGAUUACUAUGCAAUUAGGAAUAGAUCUGUUUGCUGGAAGGGCUAAGGCAUAAAACUUGUUUCUCAUGUCCCUCAUGUGACAUGGUAAGAAAAAMCCCUACUGGCUGUGGCAGAAAGACAAAGCAAUCCAUGUACCUGCACAAAAAUGUUGAUCAGCCUAAUGACAUUUAAAYCUUGUUCUUCCUGCUCUUCUUCCCUCCAUUUUAAGAUCUGGUUUUGGUUUUUUUGCAGGAGGGUAAGUCCCACCAAGGAGCCUGUUGCGUGAUACUGAAAAAUUGCAAGAGUGYUGGAGAUUAAAUAAGCAUAUUGCCUAAGGCUGAGCUGCUAAGAACAACCCUAUUUUUUUACUUAGCUAUUCUUAACAGGAGAACCAGGCAACUGCAARUGAGAGUUUCAGGGCAAGUGUAAGUUUCAAGACCAGGAGGCAUGUCCACUCCAAAGGUUAGAGAGUUAAACUGCCUCUUUUAACUCCAUGGAGAGAGAUUCCCUCUUUAUGCCCAGCCCCUUCAGUCAUUCCCAGGAGAGGUGGCAGGUGCAUACAGCUGCCUGCCCCAAAUACUCAGUGUUGCAAUCCUGUCAGUCUCUGCAGAAGUGUUGGUAAAUUUUGGUUCAAAAGGAAGGGAUCAAAUCUACUUAUGCUGACUGCUGCAUCCCUUAAAACAUGUAGUAUUAGUCCUGACAAGCAGGGACUUGGUUCUUGUGUUUUGAUUUUGGCUUGGCCAGAUCUCARCAGAGGUGUAGAAGAGGACUUCUCCAGGUGGGAAACUUCCUAAGACAAGUCUGUGGAAGUAGCAUAAUAUUCUGGUUACUAGAAUGCCUUCAAAAGUCCUGUUUCCUCCUUCCUGAGAGGGUAACCUUKCAAAAAGACAAUCAUUACAUGUUGCAGCCUCUGCUUUGACCAAGCAGUAAAUAUUCAGCUCUUCAGCUCCUUCCUAAACUCCCAUUUCCAAUGGCUUUGCUUGCAGCUCUCUGGCAAUUGCAGACUCAGAACUAAGUGCAGCAUUACUGUAGCCAUAGGAGAUUCCUACAGCUCAAACUACAUUUUACUCAUCUGAACCACCAUGGCUUCAGAUCUCACUUACUGUCAGAACCUCUCAACUCUACAGUUUGCUCCYAUUCUCUGAACACUAGCAGUCCAGACUUUUCCUUCAGCUUACCUUAGGCUUAUACUGGGUCAAAUAUAAUUAGAUCUCUACUUGAAUUGUCUAAAUACAAUCUGUGGCUUUCUUCUUCCACUAUUGCCCAGGUAAAUAUCUCUCUCUAUCCUCUUCAUUAGGACAUGGAAGGCAGAGUAGAAAUGUGAGCAUUCUUGUAGAUAUUUCUGAUUAAUCAUUAACUCUAAUCAUGGUCACAUAAACAUCUGAAACCUCCUAAACGCUUAUAUCAAAUGCCUUACUAAAAGCCAGUUGAUCUGUCUUUACAAUCUUCUCAAAYUAUUUGUAACUGUCAACAAAUGAAGUACCUUUGUUCACUGAGGUAUGUUAUUUCCUCAGUCUGCUAGCACAUCCCUAGUGCUCUGCCACUUAUCUGAGUGAUAUCACUUGCCAGAACUGUAGCAAGUCCAUUAUCUGAUUCCCUUACCGACCAGUACCGCAAAUUAUCUGGACUCCCACUAUGCUGCAGUAAGCUCACAUUUCACAAAUAUUUUCUUACUUGUUUUCAUCACUUACUGCAUUACAUCCUCAUUGAUUUUCAACCRUCCCUCAUUUCAAGUACUUUUUAAAUAGAUUUCCACCAUUUCAGAGUUAUCAAUCUCAAUUCARUGUUCCUGUAUUAACAGGCUUUUCAUAUGCCUUUCCCUCCCUGGGCACAUUUAUGAAAGCUCUUCUUUCCUUAGCCUUCUGGUCAUUGCURAUUUAUUGUUGUGGAUGCCCUUAGCUUGUUCUCUGAGGCUUCAKUCUGGUCAGCUGAUUGUUUGCAGUUCAUCUUCCCUCAUUCAGUGUAAGGCUACCACGCCACUUGCUGCUGCAUGCUGUGAAACUGCAGAGCACGUGGCUACUGUAAUGUUUAAUUUUUAAGACCUAACUAAUGCUUUCUGAAGUUCAUGGGCUUUUUUUCCUUCUCAGCUGCUAAAUSACAUUUUGAGAUCUGCCAGUGCUUCUAGUAUGGGAGGAAAAGGGGCAGAGAAAAUGUAAUUUGUUAGAUGCUGGGUUGCUUGCUCAGCUGGGGCAGUGGACAGUUUUUCUCCCGUAUACAGUCAGCCUCAAGUGCUGCUGUCUGGGGAUUAAUCCAUGAUCUCUUGAAAACCAAAACUUCAUUCUUCAAAUCAGUUGUUUGUACCACACGGCAGRAAUUUCAGUGACUCAUAAAUCCUGUUAUUUCAAAGUAAGGGAAGUACUYGAAAAUAUCACGUGGAGCUUGAAUGUUCCAGCCUAUUUCACAGACCAAGAUUUUCUGCUAAUCGGGACAUUACACAUCUUUGCUUGGGCAUUCACCUCAUAUUUCUUGCUCUAAAUAAAGCUAUAGUAAGUGACAUCAGUGAGUUUGCUGCCACCCUAUGUAUGUUUUUAUAUGCCAAACCACAAUAUUAUGACUUUCUGGAGGGCAGCCAUAUACCAAACAAACAAACAGUUGCAAAAAGGAGAAGUUAAAAAAACGAAAGAAUUGUAGCUAAUAGAAGGUAUUAUUUAGCCUUCUUYGUGCUUGCAACCAACUUUGAUAUCAAGUAUACCAAAAGCAGAAAAGGACAAAGAAAAAAAAAGAAAUAYAGAGCAAAUAUUGGGAUAGAUUGCUUUGGUCUAACGAAUUGUUGCCUAUUUUCUGCAGUUUAGUGAGCCCCCUAGAGUAAUACUAUUCCCUUCUCUUCUAUUCUAUUCUUAUCCCUACUUCUGCAUUCAAACACACAACUUGCAUUUUGCUAGUUAAGUCAUAUCACACUGCUCCCUGCCACCUUUUCAGAUGCUCAGCCCAUUUGUGAAAACACCAAAUCUUAGUAUCUCUGCAAUUUAAAAAAAAUCUUUUAAGGGUCAGAAGAUGAUCGAAAAAAAAUGCAUUUGAUCAAAUUUUUUGUUUCUUGCCAUCUGAAUUAGGAAUACUUUACUGAAUUUGUUUAAGAGCAAGGUGACCCAACACUUAAAAAUUCCCUUCUUCCUCUAGUCUCCCUAGGUUAGAAGGAUGUUUGAGAACAUAUAGCAAAUAUUUUUUGGGUAUGUACAGGAGAAUAUUCCAACUUUUUAUGGCACUACAAUUUUCCUUUUUUUUUUAAGCAACAGUCUGCCGAGAUAUGUAACACCUGCAAGUUUCUGCUACAUCUACACUGAGCACACACAUCGAGGAACUUGGAUUUCCAUGUUUCCAUGUUCCAUGUCCCAGACUAUCACUCUAGAUGUUGCUCCAAUUAUUCCCACUGUUUUAGCAAGCCUGAUGGACCUGUGGUUGGAUACACACUAGAGAAGUUUUACGUAGGACCACGAGGUCCAUAGUGAGCCUACAGGUAUUAAGGAAACAAUUGACUUCAUUAUGUGUAUCCUGGAGUAAACUUUUGCUUUCCUCUUAAAGAUAAGGUUUGGCAAUAUUAAACCACUAAGGAGAGGGCCUGGUCAAGAGCAAACGCUGCUCCUCAUGCUCCUUCCCUGAGUCUAGGACAUCCUCUGCAAGAUUGCUGACUCCUGCUUUAGAGUGUCUUGGCAACAAAAUUGAUACUGUAACAUCAUGACUUCAUAAAAGGUAAUAUCCACACCCAUCGAGUUUUGAGAAACUCACAACAAAGCGCCAUCGGUUCACAGAAAGGCAGUUUUGCAAUUGCUUGCAAAGUUUCACCUAAGAGGUAAAACAGAACCACAAUCUCCUUCUUCAGGAUGAAUGCUUUCAGAGCUGCCCUCUCCCAACUGUGUGACAUUCCUGUAGGCUGGGUGACCUCAGGCAAAACUACUAAAACCAGCUCAAUUGUGUUAACAG